rnacentral:rRNA from 1 species
UACGUAGGGUGCAAGCGUUGUCCGGAAUUAUUGGGCGUAAAGAGCGUGUAGGCGGCCCGAUUAGUCUGCUGUGAAAGUCCAGGGCUCAACCCUGGAAUGCCGGUGGAUACUGUCGGGCUAGAGUCCGGAAGGGGCGAGUGGAAUUCCUGGUGUAGCGGUGAAAUGCGCAGAUAUCAGGAGGAACACCAAUGGCGAAAGCGACUUUCUGGGACGUUCCUGACGCUGAGGUUCGAAAGCUCGGGGAGCAAACAGG